rnacentral:rRNA from 1 species
UACAGAGGGUGCAAGCGUUGUUCGGAAUUAUUGGGCGUAAAGGGCGCGUAGGCGGUGCUGUAAGUCUGUGGUGAAAUCUCUGGGCUCAACUCAGAGUCUGCCAUAGAAACUGCAGUGCUAGAGUGUGGGAGAGGUGAGUGGAAUUCCACGUGUAGCAGUGAAAUGCGUAGAGAUGUGGAGGAAUACCGAUGGCGAAGGCAGCCCCCUGGGAUA